AACGCUGGCGGCGUGCCUAAUACAUGCAAGUCGAACGGUCUUUCUAUGGAAGCUUGCUUCCACUGAGAAGAUAGUGGCGAACGGGUGAGUAACACGUGGGUAACCUGCCCAUAAGAGGGGGAUAACAUCCGGAAACGGGUGCUAAUACCGCAUAGUUUUCUUGAUCGCAUGAUCGGGAAAGGAAAGACGGCCUUUGUGCUGUCGCUUAUGGAUGGACCCGCGGCGUAUUAGUUAGUUGGUGAGGUAACGGCUCACCAAGACGAUGAUACGUAGCCGACCUGAGAGGGUGAUCGGCCACAUUGGGACUGAGACACGGCCCAAACUCCUACGGGAGGCAGCAGUAGGGAAUCUUCCGCAAUGGACGAAAGUCUGACGGAGCAACGCCGCGUGAGUGAAGAAGGUUUUCGGAAUCGUAAAACUCUGUUGUCAGAGAAGAACAAGUUGGAGAGUAACUGCUCCAGCCUUGACGGUAUCUGACCAGAAAGCCACGGCUAACUACGUGCCAGCAGCAGC
rnacentral:rRNA from 1 species